rnacentral:rRNA from 1 species
GACGAACGCUGGCGGCGUGCUUAACACAUGCAAGUCGAGCGGUAAGGCCCUUUCGGGGGUACACGAGCGGCGAACGGGUGAGUAACACGUGGGUGACCUGCCCUCAGCUCUGGGAUAAGCCUGGGAAACCGGGUCUAAUACUGGAUAUGACUCCAUGACGCAUGUUGUGGGGUGGAAAGCCUUGUGCGGCUGAGGAUGGGCCCGCGGCCUAUCAGCUUGUUGGUGGGGUGANGGCCUACCAAGGCGACGACGGGUAGCCGGCCUGAGAGGGCGACCGGCCACACUGGGACUGAGACACGGCCCAGACUCCUACGGGAGGCAGCAGUGGGGAAUCUCGCGCAAUGGGCGAAAGCCUGACGCAGCGACGCCGCGUGAGGGAUGACGGCCU